GCACCCGUAGCUCAGCUGGAUAGAGCGCUGCCCUCCGAAGGCAGAGGUCACAGGUUCGACUCCUGUCGGGUGCACCA
rnacentral:tRNA from 4 species